CCUACGGGAGGCAGCAGUGAGGAAUAUUGGUCAAUGGGCGGAAGCCUGAACCAGCCAAGUAGCGUGCAGGAUGACGGCCCUACGGGUUGUAAACUGCUUUUAUAUGGGAAUAAAAUGUUCCACGUGUGGGAUUUUGUAUGUACCAUAUGAAUAAGGAUCGGCUAACUCCGUGCCAGCAGCCGCGGUAAUACGGAGGAUCCGAGCGUUAUCCGGAUUUAUUGGGUUUAAAGGGAGCGUAGGUGGAUUGUUAAGUCAGUUGUGAAAGUUUGCGGCUCAACCGUAAAAUUGCAGUUGAAACUGGCAGUCUUGAGUACAGUAGAGGUGGGCGGAAUUCGUGGUGUAGCGGUGAAAUGCUUAGAUAUCACGAAGAACUCCGAUUGCGAAGGCAGCUCACUGGACUGCAACUGACACUGAGGCUCGAAAGUGUGGGUAUCAAACAGGAUUAGAUACCCCAGUAGUC
rnacentral:rRNA from 1 species